AGAAAAGUCAUAGAUACCAUAUUAUUCCAUUUCAAUUUACAAAUUGGUUUUGCAUAAAACAUUUGCAUCAAAGUCAUGGUUAUGAUCAUGGUAGAGAGGGAAUUCCGUUCGAGUUCGCUGAUCGAAGUCAUUUGGAGUGCUCCUAUGACUCAACGUGGUCAUUUGUAUCUUGGGAGAUGAUUACCGGAUAACCGUUAGCACCGAUGCGAGGCAAAUUCAUCUUAAGGACAAAGUGUCCAACACUUGCCUCGACCAAAAAUCCGUCAUUUGCAUCUUUUUUUUUUUCAUUUUCUGAUUCCUUUUAUUAUAAUUUGAUUUCAGAAAAUGAUUAACAUUAUUUAUAUGUUUAUCCUGCAAGGUUUGAUCCAAAGAAUUACUUGUUUUCGAUCAUGAGUUGAAAGGGAAGAAUCCAUAUUCAAGUAUUCGGAUUCAAUAAAUUCUUAUUUUGUCUUCUUAAAUCCAAGUUGGAAUACGUUUCGAUUUCAUGCAAAUAAACGAUAUGUUUAUUGUGAAUAAAAUAUGCACAAUUAUCAGUGUAAUUUUCCAACAAUCUUAAGAUGAAUUUUAAGUGGUUUUAUUGUGCAUUUAUAUUCUUAAUUUCGACAAAUAUAUCACGUGCAUUUUCUGCAAAUUGUUUUGCAUGGAAAUAGUUCAUUUGAAGUGGAAACUGUGUGUCAGUAUGCACGUGUAAAUUGUUAUUAUGCUUCUAUGAGAAUUGGCACUUAAGUGGAGAGUCAGAAUCCAUGUUUGUGCAUAAUUGUUACAAUUAACAUUGGUUAAUGAAAAUUGGAACAAAGGCAUGAAUUGAUCCUAUUGGUUAUUGAACAAGUGCAUGCGGCAAUUCCAUUAAAUAACUUUUAAUGUUAUGCGCAAUUUAAAAUGCAAUUAUGG
rnacentral:lncRNA from 1 species